AUGGACGCGGCGGCGACCACUGCCGACCUGCUCUCCGCGCUGGCGCCCUCCUGGAGCGCGGCGGUGGUGCUGGCCUCCUACCUCGCGUACCUCGCCGCCGCCGCCGCCCUCCUCCCCGGCAAGCUCGUCGCCGUCCUCCCCGACUCCUCCCGUCUCCACUACCGUUGCAAUGGUCUGCUCCCACUGCCGCUGCUCCUGGGGCUCUCCGCGCUUGGCGUCUACAUGGGCUGGAUGACUCCCACGGUGAGAUCCACGGUGGGGUUUCUUGCCUCCGCCCUCCCGCCCCACCACCGGCCCGUCCGCCAUGUCGAAGCAAGGAGGGAAGGCCAAGCCGCUCAAGCAGGCCAAGGUCGCCGAGAAGGACUACCACGAGCCCAGGGCGAAAAAAAAAAGAAACAACGCGAGGACGAGGGAAUCGAUCGCUCCAACUCCUUCCUGUCUCUUCGGUUCGCGAGCGCAUCGACUUGGCAAAAAAGGGGCUGGCAGUGGCGGCUGGCCUCGACGCUGAGCCAUAGACGGCUAGACGCAUGGCCGGCGGGGAGCGGACUCGAGGCUCCCAGGCAGUCUACUGAUCCGGUCGUCCAAUCGGCCCCUCCUUCCUCUCUUCCGGCUUCGGCUACAGCUUCGGUUAUCUUCAGAGCUACAGCUUGGAUCCAUACGUGGUCCUUACUCACUCCUAUGGACUCCAGGGAGCCUUUGGUUACUGGGUGCAACCAAUGGGAGAUGGUAGCUCGGGUUAUCUUCAACCGGUUCGGAUGGCGCUCGCAUAAUAGGAUAGGAGUCUAG
rnacentral:rRNA from 1 species